rnacentral:rRNA from 1 species
CCCUUAGAUGUUCUGGGCCGCACGCGUGCUACACUGACCGGCGCAACAAGUUUCUUUCCUUGGCUCGAUAGGCCUGGGUAAUCUUUGAACGCCGGUCGUGAUGGGGAUAGAUCCUUGCAAUUUUUGGUCUUCAACGAGGAAUUCCUAGUAAAUGCGAGUCAUCAUCUCGCGUUGAUUACGUCCCUGCCCUUUGUACACACCGCCCGUCGCUCCUACCGAUUGAAUGGUCCGGUGAAGCGUUCGGACCGUGGCCUUUGGACGGUUCGCCGUCUGUUGGCUGCGGGAAGUUCGUUAAACCUUAUCAUUUAGAGGAAGGAGAAGUCGUAACA